ACCUUACUCAUCAGUUCAACGCCAGUUUGUUACCCCUUAUGGAUUACCAGCACCUCACGAGUGACGUCAGCGCUCUCUUCCCUCCUGCUGCUCAGAGACAUCCUGUGAUCCCACGGCUCUCCUUAACCGCACUAAGCCCUCCAGCCAAGCCACCAGCCGUUGUCAAGUCCGGACCUCACCCAGCUACAACUCCUACCAUCUUCCUAGCAGGAAUAAUAAACCUUUUCUCGCCAAAUCC